CUAGCCAUGCGAGUCGAGAGGUGAAGACCUCGGCAUACUGCUCAGUAACACGUGGAUAAUCUGCCCUCAGAUGAAGAAUAAUCCCGGGAAACUGGGGCUAAUGCUUCAUAGGAGACGGGUGCUGGAAUGCUCUGUCUCUGAAAGGUCCGCCGUCUGAGGAUGAGUCUGCGUCCGAUUAGGUUGUUGUUGGGGUAACGGCCCACCAAGCCUUUGAUCGGUACGGGUUGUGGGAGCAAGAGCCCGGAGAUGGAUUCUGAGACAUGAAUCCAGGCCCUACGGGGCGCAGCAGGCGCGAAAACUUUACAAUGCGAGCAAUCGUGAUAAGGAAACCCUGAGUGCCUGUUAUCGCAGGCAGUUCUGGUGUCUAACACACACCAGGAGAAAGGGCGGGGCAAGACCGGUGCCAGCCGCCGCGGUAAUACCGGCUGCUCGAGUGAUAGCCACUUUUACUGGGCUUAAAGCGUUCGUAGCUUGGUCGUUAA
rnacentral:rRNA from 1 species